rnacentral:rRNA from 1 species
UACGUAGGGUGCGAGCGUUAAUCGGAAUUACUGGGCGUAAAGCGUGCGCAGGCGGUUCGUUGUGUCGGCGGUGAAAGCCCCGGGCUCAACCUGGGAAUUGCGGUUGAAACUGGCGGACUAGAAUCUGGCAGAGGGGGGUGGAAUUCCACGUGUAGCAGUGAAAUGCGUAGAUAUCGGGAGGAACACCAGUGGCGAAGGCGGUUGCCUGGAGCUUUGCUGACGCUGAGGCGCGAAAGCGUGGGGAGCGAUCCGG